rnacentral:tRNA from 1 species
GGAGAGAUGGCCGAGCGGCUGAAGGCAGUGGUUUGCUAAACCACCAUACACUCGAACAGUGUAUCGAGGGUUCGAAUCCCUCUCUCUCCG